UCCUUUGCUUGGCCAGCCUCGCCAAUCGCCAUGGACGCCAGCAAGCUUCUGUCCGGUUCAACGGUAGUGUUUCGCAGUCACUCCCUCAAGUUCGUUAAGUUGCUAGCUCCAGCUCCGGUUUCUUGACACCUCCUUCUUUGAAGAAGUCGUCCUCGUUCACGGCGACUUCGUCUUUGACCCUGCCCGGGAGAAAACCUCCAGUGCCUGUCGUGCGGCGGAGGUUAGCGCUGAAAUGCGGCGCUGUUGCUGGAGGUAUAACCGAAAUCGAUGAGAGCCAGUUCGCUGAUACGGUGUUGAAAAGCAACCGGCCUGUGCUGGUGGAGUUCGUGGCCGACUGGUGUGGUCCUUGCCGCUUAAUCUCUCCCGCUAUUGAGUGGGUGGCUCAGGAAAUCGAGGAUUCUGAAGGUUCAAUCCAGUGAGCUAUCUUUCUGGAAGUUGUCGAUAAGCUUCCGAUUGCGCGGAGGAACCACUUUUUGAUAUCGGGG